GCUUUCCUGUGGCUCAUUCCGUAGAGCGUUGUGUUACAGCUACACAAAGAUUGUGGGUUUGAAUCCCAGGGAAAGCA